UCAAUUGGAGGGUACGUGAUAAUAUUUCCCUUUACACAUGCAUCUGUAGACAGUGGGACAUGACUCUGCAACAGAGCAUUUGAAGCUCACCAUCACCCUUUUGCACGGAAAACAUGGUCCACAUGCAUGGGAACAGUCUGGGAGGCUGGAUCCUGUAGGAUACAUUUAUUUUCUCACAAAAUGUUUGAUACGAAGUGGCGAGGAGACGAAGAAAACACAGUACCUCCUGGUGCGUUGAACUGCCGACUGGUCUCGAGUCGAUGCAUCAAGCCGUCUUCCAAUCAUUAGUAUGAUGAAGAAAAUCCAGAAAAGUAAAGUUUGAGCCACAAGUGGGAAUUUCUUCAUUGCUGUUUGAUAAUGCAAAAGCCAAAAGGAUAGAAGAAGUGGUAGAGAUGCUAAAGGAGGAGAAAUAGACUGCGAAGUUUGUUGGAAAUGUUGGUGACAGAUGAUUUAGUAUGCAGUGGGCACUUUAUGGUGUAAAUGGAAUAAAGGUUAGUUUUUAAUGUAGGAAGAGGUACAUCUGAUUCACCUCACAUGAUCCACGGCCCAUUUUGAAGGUUCACAUGUGUUGGCAAGUAAACUCAACAACUUCUGAAACUUUAAAUGAACUGUGGCAUUGGAUCUUAUACGUACGGAGGUGUUGAUAAAUGUUGCAUUCCAUAGAGGUGGAGGAAGGUUGAAAAUCAUUUUCAAGUCGAGCGGUCAUUUUCCAGUUGGAUAUUUUGCCAACAACAUUUUUCUAGAGUUCAAGGGUCUCGACUCUAGGGCCGCUUUUAGUCCUAAAUCUUUGGGGUUACUUUUUUCCAUAUAUGCUGGUUAUAUUUCUUUAUGUUAUUUGUAUCAGUAACGGGUUUAUAGAUGGUCUAGUUCUGAACCUACGUGUCCAUGACUUCGUUUUUCAGAAAUUCUUUUUCCUUGUCAGGAUCGGAACUUAGAAAAAUGGUUGGGACAACGAACCGCUCGAAGAGGGAAAUCGACUGACAGAAGACCUUUCUGUUUGUGGAUUCCCAACCCAAGGCAGCAUUGCACUCUAAUAAGUGAUUCUGUAAGUAACAAUCAGUCUCUCUAUAUGAUUAUCAAUGCUUGUUAAGUUUCUUUCACCCCUGACCUUUCAGCGCUCUUUUGUUGUCUUUUGAGGGAGGGGUGAAAGGAGGAUAAUAGUCCCAAGUGAAUGGGAAAUGGGGAAAUUAUUUAGGUAAAAUGGUUCUCUCUCUUGUUGUCUGCCUAAAGAACAAAAGUGCAGUAGGGUUUUAGUUGCUACCCGACAGAAGGAGUUCACGUGUAGUGUAGUGCAGUGGGGGAGCAGAAAUUGAAGAACACUCCUCCCUUUGCUGCUGGCAUUCAAUGAACUUCUGCAAUGUUUAUCAGUUUCUCAGACAUCAAUAUUUCCUUAAAAGUUUAGAAUUUA